GAUCAUGGCUCAGGACGAACGCUGGCGGCGUGCCUAACACAUGCAAGUCGAACGGGGUUAUAUAAGAAGCUUGCUUUGAAUAUAACCAAGUGGCGGACGGGUGAGUAACGCGUGAGGACCUGUCUCCGGCAGGGGGACAACAUUUGGAAACGGAUGCUAAUACCGCAUAAGCCGAGAGGUGAAAGGAGCAACCCGGCAGGAGAGGGACUCGCGUUCUAUCAGCUAGUAGGCGGGGUAAAGGCCCACCUAGGCGAAG
rnacentral:rRNA from 1 species